rnacentral:rRNA from 1 species
AGAAUCAACGCUGGCGGCGUGCCUAACACAUGCAAGUCGAACGAGAAAGGGGCUUCGGCCCUGAGUAAAGUGGCGCACGGGUGAGUAACACGUGAAUCAUCUACCUUUGAGUGGGGAAUAGCUGAGGGAAACCUUAAUUAAUACCGCAUAAUACCUACGGGUCAAAGCCGAAAGGCGCUUAAAGAGGAGUUCGCGGCAGAUUAGUUAGUUGGCGGGGUAAUGGCCCACCAAGACGAUGAUCUGUAUCCGGCCUGGGAGGGCGCACGGACACACUGGAACUGAAACACGGUCCAGACUCCUACGGGAGGCAGCAGUGGGAAUUUGCGCAAUGGGGGAAACCCUGACGCAGCAACGCCGCGUGGAGGAUGAAGUAUCUCGGUACGUAAACUCCUUUCGAUGGGGAAGAUAAUGACGGUACCCAUAGAAGAAGCCCCGGCUAACUUCGUGCCAGCAGCCGC